rnacentral:tRNA from 1 species
GCCGGGGUCGCCUAGCCUGGCCUAGGGCGCCGGACUCAUAUUCCGGUUUCCGCGGGUUCGAAUCCCGCCCCCGGCA